UGCACCAAAGAAUUGGAGCCAUGGCAACACUGAAGCUAGGAUUCCAAGAGAGAAGGACUGCUAAACCAUUCAGUGCGAAAGCCCUGAGAAGCCAGGAUACCUGGGACUUGAGCCUGAGAUGGCGUUUGGACUUGGAUCUGUGCUUUCUGCAGGAGCCAAGCCAAGCUAUGAACCUAAUCCGCUUGCACUCCCCCAAAGAUGAGAUAGUGCAAAGGGGAAGGAUUAUGUCUCCCACCUGUUGGGGAAGAGACUCAAAUCAAGUGCUUUGGAAAAGCUAAUCCCCAAAUCUCCCAGAUCCUCAGUAGUCAGAGCUCUCUUCCUUUUUAUAUUAUCAAAUUGUGAAUGCUGGCAGGUUGAUCUACCAACAGCCAGAAUCAUCUAACUCCAGUGGUAGGAUAAAAGUCAAGAUAACUGGUUAUGGCCCCCAGGAUGCAGUGGAUGACCUUGGCAUCUUUGACAUCUGACCAGACUCUAAGCACUCCACAGUGCCUUCCUGGCCACUGGAACAGAUGUUCUCAUCUGUCCAUUCCACCUGGAAAAGUCUUCACAUGCUUCAGGUAGACGUCCCCCUAUCUCGUCAACAGGUUUGAGGCCUGUCAAUUACCUUCAACCUUGUUUAGUCCAUCUGCCAGGAUGGUUUACUGGGGCAUGGCUGCUAGGCAUGCUAGGGGUGUAUGGGGUGUUCAGGAAGGACUAGCACCUCUGGUGUGAGGGCUUGCCGAGCUUUUUUCAGGGCUGCUCAUCUACCUUUGGUGUCUACCUGUCACCAAACUAUCACCUAUUGGCUUUGGUGUCGUAUUUAGCUAACAAUUUUUUUUUAAACCACAGAUUUCUUACCAAAGGUCCUUGAUUCUUAAAACCUACAAAUUGGUAGAUGAGAGGAAUUUCACCCUGAUUCAAUGUGGUCAAUGAGAAUAGACACCAACAUUCAAUUUCACUGGAAGAAGGCUAAAGGAAACAUACAUUUGGAUAGGAGGAAUCUCUCCAAGGUGCUCUAGACCUCUCAUCCCUACGCCA